UAAAAGGUUGGAGUGAAACUGUCAACAUACAGCCAUACAAAUCCAACAAUUUAAAUAUUUUAUGCAUCUCAUAUACAAGUGUAUUGUAGAAUUUUUACUAAUUUUUUUUUUUUAAACCAACGACAAUGUUAGUGGGUAUUUUUUUUUUCUUCACUAAAUUAGAAUCGUGUCGUCACCAUUUGACCUUGUAUCUUUACUUAUACUAAUCUUCGAUGAGUUUUCUUGUGAUGUAGUUUAUAUUCAAAUAAGUCUAUAUAUACACUUAAUAUUUGCUGAGUUUUCUUUACUUAGGUUUUAGUGUGUAAUCAAGUUUAUUGAGUUGGAAUUUUGUAGGAUUUUUAAUGUGGAGUGGUUUCAUAAAUUUGUGGGGUGUGAAUAAAAUUACCCUAUAUAAUUUAAUGACUCAAACCUAUCGAGGGAUUGAAGCACAAACCUUCCAUGUUCUUCUCUUCUGCUGCAUCAUCCUUUAUAUUCUCUUCCAGAUUUAUCAUCCACAAGAAGCUUUUUGCAUUCAACUGUAUUAGAUCAUCUUGUUUGGGCAACUUCACUACAAUUGUCGGGGCCGGCCGGUGGCGACUCCGGCCCAGCCAUCAAACUUGGAGGAACCGGACUAAUCUGUUUUAAAAUGCAAUGGAUGGGCCGGACCGGGUAUAAGAGUUUUGAAACUUAGAACCAGACUAAACCCGGCCUGUUUGAAACAGGCUAGUUCGGAACGGGUCCACAAGUCUAUUUACAAUUUUUUGUUUUUUUUUUUUUUUUUGUUAGAACAUGUGAAUAUUUUCAAUUUUCCAAGUUUUAGGUUGAUUACCACCACCAAAUCAAGUAAAUUAAAGAAAACACAUGUGGAAAUUUACUAAUUAUUAAACACUAUGCCAACGAAAUCAAAGAAAGAGCACCCCAAAACCAAUUUAAAGAAAGAAUCUAAACAAAAUCGGCAACUCGUUCAAAUGAAAAGGAUUGAGAGGAAAUCACAGAACGCGAAAGUAUUUUAAACAAAAAUUGGGAUACCGGUUCAAAAACAGCCAUCAAAAUUCGAUGAACACAGACAAAAAAACCUAGAAAACCCAAAAUCCCAAUCCAUCUCUUAAACCCAAAAAAACCCAAAAUCUACAAACAAAGAAAGAAGGCCACUGCUAAUAUACUUAUAAUAUGAUACAAACUAAAAUCAGAGCUUUUUAGUGGGAGGAAAAAAAAAUGCCACAAGCAAGAUCUAAAAGUCCAAUCAAUUGCUGCACAUAGCUUGAUGCCUCAAGAUUGCCCUUCCUGGUAAGCCGACCUUGGGAUCCAACUUGUCCACGUAGAAGCAUCGCGUGCCAAGGAGAUUGUCGACACGUGGCGCCGUUUCUGGUUUCUCCGCCUAACGCACAUGCUCUUCCACCACGUACUUUCCGCUUCAAGAUGGCCCAGCUUGAUCCACCCGCUGUACCGUGGGAUAAGACGGUAUCGAGGCUUGGUUUUGGGGAUAAUGGGCAAUAUACGCCUGCUAGGUCUCUGCCUACAAGGAGACCCAAAAUCCAGCAAAGCCAAAGCAAAAGAGGAAGGAGACGUGAUGGUGGUCGCAACUCGCAAGUCACCAGAAAGAGGGAAACGAAGACGGAGUCGAGUCAGUGAAUUGGUGGUGAUGUGCAGAGGCAUGAAUGAAUGGGAGAGAGAGAUGAUAGAGGAGAAGAGUGAGCCUGAAAUCCAACGGUGGAUAUAAAUCCAAUCCAAUCCAAUGUUAGCAACAGUUCGAAUCGAGGCCCCACUGCCACAAUUUCUGGAAUCCGCCCUGCCCCAUUUUAUGUAGGGGUGGAAUUUUUUCCCGAAAAUCUUGAACCGUCCUGAACGCGUCUUGAAAUUUGACUGAAAAAUAUCCGAACUGAAUUUCUCGAAACACUUGGUACCGAAAACCGAACCUGUCCCGAAAGUUUUGGUUUGGGAUCCGGCCACAAGUUUGAAUGCGUUCGGUAAUCCCGAACCGAAUGGAAUGUUAUAUAUAUAAUUUUAAUUUAUAAUUAGAAAUUACUUGGACCGUUGGAUUGGUUAAGAUCUAAUCCAACCGUCCAUUGAGUUAGGUCAUUUUGUUAUCCCCCUUCCUUCAAUAUUCCGAGCGCUCACACUCUCACUCAAUCUCCCGAACGGCUCUCGUGCUCCCGCCGCUCCGCUCGUCCAUCGAUUCGAGUCACGGUGCUCCUCCCGUCCUCUAUCCACUUCAACGACGCUCCUCCCGCCCUUCGUCCCAUUCAUUCAACGACGCGAAUCCGACACCAAUCGAGUCCCAAAAUCCAGGUAAGGGUUUUUGAAUUUCUGAAAUCUAUGCCUAUUGGUGCGAGAGUGAGAGGUUAAUUAAUGGAACGUAAUCAUCCUUUUCUUUUCUUUUUUUUUUUUUUUGCUUGAAUUGUGUUUUCUCUCUAUUUUGGGAUUUGAUUUCGGAUUAGGGUAGGUGCAGUGCAGGACUUGCAUGCCUUUGGAAGGGUGGGUUCACGAAUUUAUAGGUUCAUUCAGAUUAAGAUUGGGGUGGGUGGGUGCACGAAUUUGUAGAAUAAAAUUUUAAGGGAUGGGGAAAUACGACCUGCACGAAUUGCAGGGGGUUUCAGAUUAGGGUGGGUGCUGUGCAGGACUGCAGGCCUUUGGGACUUGGAGAUGGGUCACCGGUGCACGAAAUUGUAAAGAAUGGUGGAAGUUUAUGGGAUUUUUUUGGCUUCAAGGCCCAAUCCCGAAGUGUCCCGAAAAUCUAGAAACAGUUUUGGGAAUCCCAAAUCGCGGGAAGUGAAUAGUUUUGGUUCGGUUUCGGGAUAUGAAAUCUCAUCCCGAAAUGUUUUGGUUUGGGAUUCGGGUGGGGGUUUCAGUUCGGGAUCUUGACCCAAACCAGCCCUAAUUUUAUGUACAUAAAUUUUGGACCCGUCUCAAUCCACAGGUCCAAGACCCGUAUGGCCAGCCCUAAUGGAUAAAGAAGGGAAGGAGGGUUGGGUGAGAGCUAAGGGUGAGGCAGGAAAGGCCCAUAUUUUUUACUCUUUUUGUAAUUUUUUUUAAAUUUAUUAAUUUUUACUUUAUUUAGUAUCCACGUGGGCCCAUGACACGUGGUAAAGAGUCUAAUAGUAAUUGUACAGUUAGAAUAAGUCAGUCCAGGGCUAUUUGUAAUUAGCUGUAAAUGUUAGCGUCAAUUAUGACAAUUGAAUUGUAACUAUAUAUACUGAAAUGUGUGUAUUGUUCAAUAGGUCAAUGAAAUGAGAAGAAGCGUUUUUCACA